GCUACCCGCAUAACAAAUUACAAUUUGCCAUAAUCUCCAAACAAUAAAUGUCUCGUAUAUGUUAAUGUUAAUGUACCACACACAGUUGCUUUCAUGUUCAACAAUAUGAAGUUCUGUGCAUUCAACUGUAUUUAAUGGUUCAAUCAACCAAUAGCAAGUGGUAACAAUGUAUUAUAUUGUGCAGAUGUUGUUAAAUUAUAUGAGGACGAAAUUUUGCGAGAAAUGGUUGCAAUAUAGAAGCACACUUUGACAAAUGGUUUAUGUUCAUAUUUGUACAACACACUGACACAUGUGCAUUCAACUACAUUUUACUCAUGUCUCACAAUAUGACAAACAGUUGCACACAUUGGUAUUUGUGAGCGGUUGAAACUUGCUCGAACCUUCUUGCAGCUUGUCAUUUUGCAAAGAAAAAAAGAAAAACAAUGGAAUUUAUUUUGAUUGCUGGUGGAGUUUUGGAAAAGCUGUUCCGGGAUAAAUCUGAAACGGCAGAUUUUAUGCAAUUCGUCGUGAACGGAUUUUACCCGGAGGCAUUCGCAGAUCCAGCCCAAUAUCUCCCAGUACCGAUGACCUCCGACAGCUUCAACUUCAUCAUCGUUGAAAACCUCCGGUAGAGCUGAAGACGAAGAAGAAGAACGGUGUCCUUUAACAAAAUUUUGAGGCAUAGUUCCGGUAUUCCACGACUGCUGCUGAUGGCCAGUGGAGCAUAGUGAAGGAUGUUGUAGCCUAGGUUUUUUGUUCUAUAUUUUUUUCUUGGUUAAUUCGCAUUUUCCCAUUCUAUUGGGCUCUUCCCACCAAGUGUGUGAUCGUAAAUUAAACUGCGGUUUUCUCUCGAACCAGCAAAACCUCAGUUUAAUUUCCGAUGCCACACUUGGCGGAAAGGAUCUAGUAGGAUGGGAAUGGUUGCUUGGCAUGAUAAUUGGAGGGUAAGAGUCUUAGGGUCGGUGAUAGAUAUUUGGUGAAUAAAAAAAUCUACAGUAAACGCAUAACCGCCUUUUUAUUUCUAAACGGUUUAAAUACAGCAGAACCACAUUUCAUAAGCUUAAAAUACAUUGAAAGACCAUCAAUCAACAAUAACACAUACAGUGGUCGUUUUCUUUCAAAUUUAUUGUAAAAUUGUUCUCUAACCAUUUGCUUUGCAGUAAAUGCUAUGAAAAACUGGAUAAUAUAUUGACCGUAUCCUUUACUGUAUUGCGAAAAAUUUGUUCGAGAAAACGAGCGAUUUUUUAUGGUAACCUAUCUUAACCGCCUAUUCCUCAUACUGUAAUUUGGCGGAUUACCAUUUGUCAAACUGGCAAAUAUGUACAUAGAAUGGUUAGCUUACUGUUAUCUUGGACAGUCUGAGAAAUGGUUAUAUGUCAAUUGGUAAUAGUCAUCAACAGUAUGAGAAACGUUGCAUUUACAGUUAGUGAUUAUGCGGGUAGA